rnacentral:rRNA from 1 species
AUGAACGCUGGCGGCGUGCCUAAUACAUGCCAGUCGCGCGAACAGACGAGGAGCUUGCUCCUCUGACGUUAGCGGCGGACGGGUUAGUAACACGUGGAUAACCUACCUAUAAGACUGGGAUAACUUCGGGAAACCGGAGCUAAUACCGGAUAACAUGUUGAACCGCAUGGUUCAACAGUGAAAGACGGUCUUGCUGUCACUUAUAGAUGGAUCCGCGCCGCAUUAGCUAGUUGGUAAGGUAACGGCUUACCAAGGCAACGAUGCGUAGCCGACCUGAGAGGGUGAUCGGCCACACUGGAACUGAGACACGGUCCAGACUCCUACGGGAGGCAGCAGUAGGGAAUCUUCCGCAAUGGGCGAAAUCCUGACGGAGCAACGCCGCGUGAGUGAAGAAGGUCUUCGGAUCGUAAAACUCUGUUAUUAGGGAAGAACAAAUGUGUAAGUAACUAUGCACGUCUUGACGGUACCUAAUCAGAAAGCCACGGCUAACUACGUG